CAGCCGCUGGAACCGCCACUCAAAAACCCCUUAUAUUUUUUUUUGUUUCUCCGGCAAAACCAAUCCCUGUUCCUCCCACUACCAGACUCCUUCGCGAAACGCUACCCGUUCACACCGCCAGUGACUCCGGCGAGGAGCUCCACGUUCCAAUGAGCCGGAGCAAAAGAUAAAAGCUAAACGACGGCCAGUCCCUUCCCCCUUUUCGAUUUUCCGUUCAUUUGUUUGUUUUAUAGGUGUUCCGUUAACGCCGACGAACCAGAGCUCGAACCAGUGAGCCAUUUUCCGGCGGAAUAAGUGAGCUCAAAGCUCUCACCUGAACGACGAUAACCCCAAACUCUAGCUCUGGCGUGGCUCCACCGCCAGCGAACGGGAGUUCCAAGCUCCAAUGAGCACCAUCAGUCCUAGACUCUUAUCAUCACCACGGUACUCUGUAUUUCCUUUAUUCCUCCUCACAUUUUUUUUAUCUGUUUUGCAAGUUAUAUUUGUGUUGUUAAUACUUCAUUUUUAUAGAUCUUGCUCUAUUAUUUAUUGUUUUCAUUUGUUCUAAGAGUUAUAUUGAAGUAUUGUUGGAUGAUGUGGUUUUUAUUAUUAUUUUAGUUUUUGUUUUUUUGUUUUUGUUGUUGGACACAUUUAAGUUAAGUUAUAAUUUCUAGAUUCGUUCAUUUUGAUGUUUUGAGAUUUUGUCGGUAAUUAAUUUGAUUUUUUAAUCGGAUUUAUCAAUUACAGUGGUUUCUUAUUUUUCAUAUAUUGACAUUUACUGGUUAAUGACUUUUAGAUUUGAUUUACUUAUUUUAUAUUGUUUAUUGCUAUUUGGGUAGUACAUUACUGUUGGCUAUUAUUAUUACUAAUAUUUUAUUAUUAUUAGUAGUAGCAGUAUUAGUCUUGUUACUAUAUUGUUACGGUUGGUGUUGUUAUGGUUGAUAUUAUUAUUAUUAUUAUUAUUAUUAUUAUGUUUAUCCUUUUGUUUAAAGUUAAUUUUAGACAUUUUGUGCUUUGCUAAAUUGUUUUGUAUGUUAAAAUUGGCCAAUGAGAAAAUUUCUCCGUCGAUUUUGGAGGCCUUUACAUUGUAAAAGACGGAAAUUUAGUUUAAGUUUAUAUGUACUAUUUGUUAAAAUUGGCCGAUGAAGAAAUUAUCGUCGAUUUUCAAGGUCUCCCAUGUUAAUAAGACGAGUUUUUAUUUUUAAGUUACUAUUAAUUUAUUUAUUUUUAUUCAUAUUUAUUUAGUACUAACACUUUUACUAAGUGUCUUUACAGGUACCCGGAGCUGCUUCACAUUGAAGCUAUUCGAACAAGGUUCGAAUAAUAUUUUGAUUCAUUAUCGUAUAUUAUUGACGAUAGGCAAAUCUAGGUUGCUUCUUAUAUUAUUUUAUUUUAUUACUUUUGUAUAUUGUAUAUUUGUUUUAUUUGUACAUUAUUUUAUUUUCCUCCUCAAUUUGAAAAAAUGAAUUCAGUCGAGACCCACAGUUGUGGAUUUCGAAGGAUGCCUAACACCUUUCCUUCGAAAUAACUUGAACCCCUUACCUAGAAUCUUGGUUUCGUAGAUCACUUAAUAGUUUCCUAGUUUAUUCUUAAAAUUAGGUGGCGACUCCUUUAAAAUUCAUUUAUUGUUAAAAUUCUUUUAAAAUUGAAUCAAUUGUUUAUAUUUUGAGUCACCGCGACGUUUUUCCCUAUUUGAAUAAUGUAGGGAUAUAAACAGAAUGGCGACUCUGCUGGGGAUGCAGAUGUUCUAACCAAUAUGAGUAUAUUUUUUCAAAUUGAGGAGUUAUUAUUUUAUUAUGUUAUUCAUCAUAUCUUGUAUAUUUUGUUGAUUAUUUGUAUAUUAUACUUGUUAUUUAUUCAUUAUUUAUUUGUAUAUUAUAUUUGUUAUUUAUUCAUUAUUUGUUUAAAUUGUAUAUAAAUUAUUGAUGCAUUUCAUGAUAUUUCUGUUGUAUGUAUAGUAUAUUAAAGGACGGUUUUGCGGAACCGCAGUCGGACUUUUUUAUACUCAACCCUUUUCCAGAAGGAUCGGCGAUUUAUUGGUACGUCAUGCGUCCAAUGGUUGUUGUGAAUUCCAGCCUAAGUUGUCCACUUGGGUUCCCGGUCUUUCAAAAGCCUCUCUUAGUCAACUAGCGUAGAGUGAAACCAAAUCUCAAUUUCUAGCGCAUUUUGAACUAGGUCGACCUAACACUCAAGGCGUGUUAGGCCCAUUAGAAGUCUAGCUUGUGUCUAUUUGGCCAAUUGAUCAAUAAAAGACAAUUAUUUGUAUCUGUUUAAAUUUGAAGGAUGUAUACGUCAUUUGACAAAACAAUGUUCCUUGGGUUAGGGAGUUUAAGAAUUUGUUCGAGUCAAAGAAUGAUCAAAUUACCAUUGCAUCUGAAGACGUUGACAUUUAGAGAUGGAUGCUUAGUAUAGGAUUGUACCCUUGUGUGGGAUCGAUUUUUGUAUCAUUUUUCUCUAUUAUGUAUACCCAUUCAAUUUAUUUACGAUGCUUGUAUAGAUUUUAAUUUUUUGGGGACAAUAGAAUGUUGUCAAAUGGCGUUAUACAUUUUUCAGAUCGAUAGGCUUACCCUUGGCACAAAACGGUCACAUAUUUAUAUAGAACGCACAAUAAUUGUUUAUAUGCUAUGUGAUAUAAUUGAGUUUGUUUUCAAUCAAAGUAGUGUUUAUGUGUUUAAUUUAUUUAUUUAUUUUUGUGAUAUUUUGCAUUAUUCAUUAUGAGUACAAAUUAACACUUUUAUCUUUUGAGUUUAUCCUUUUUUUAAGUGAGAGAUUGAUCUAUAUCAGAAUUUAGAAGUCAUUGUUCGUCCAAAGUUGCAAGGGACAAAAGGAUUCGUGAAGUUCAAGUGUUUAUAUUUCACAAGACAUUAAUCUCAAGUCAAAAAGAUAAAUCAGGGGAGUCUUUGACUAUGAGGUCGCACUCAUUUAUCUUUCAUUAUUUUUUGCAUGUUGGCCCUGCUUUCACACAUUUCUAAUAUUUUUGCAGGAAAACCAUCCCCGACGAUAAUCGGGGAAUGGUCAUAACAAUGUCUAAUUCUCGUGGAUAAUUGGGAGAAGACAGUUCCAAGAGGCAUUAAAAAAAAAUACAACAACAAGUGAUUAUUGUAAGAAAAAUGAGAGACCACAUUCAACAGAAAGCACAAAGAUCGACGGUUAAGGGGAUACAAUGAAUCACUCCGAGUUUGUCUAAAAUUUUAAAUUAAUUUAUGACAUAUCUGCACGAACUACGCGUACCUGAUUCUCAUUUUCAUGAGAUAUGUAGGCAACCGCUUUUGGGUUCGAUAUUCACUUUUCAUUUUUAUUUUUUUUAAAAAAAUAAAAUAAAAUGGUUUGUUUAUUUUUAGGAUCAUAUCUCAAUGAACUACGCGAACCUGAUUCUCAUUUUCAUGAGAUACGUAGGCAGCCCUUCUUGGGUUCGGUAUUCAUUCUUUUAAAUUCAAAAAUAAAUAAAUCAAAUAGUUUAUGCAUAUUUUCAAAGACAUAUCUGCAUGAACUACGCACACCUGAUUCUCAUUUUGAUGAGAUACGUAGGC
rnacentral:lncRNA from 1 species